rnacentral:lncRNA from 1 species
AAAAACUGGAGCUGUGCUGCUGUGGUGGGAUCCAGCUGUUGGGAUUGGGGUGUUCACAGCUCCUGUUUUUCCUGCCCAGGUCGGGAUAUGGACGAUGACAGUUCCAAAGCGAGUGACAGCCGGGAGGCACCUCUGGAAACCAGCUCUUCAUCGGAUGGAAUAGUCCUUCCCUUCUCCAGGACUGAGACACGGAAGGAGAAAGUAACUGCCAUAAAAUCCAAAGCGUUCUGGGGCGAAUCCGACGACAGCAGCUCCGAGCUCGAGGCCGCCCUGCGCCCGCAGACCCACAGCGCCCAGUCAGACGACUUCGAUGACUUCUAUGCUUGAGAUUCCCUGCUGGCUUCUGGGGAGAAGCAGAAGCGUUGUUUCAGAGCCCACUCACCCUCACAGUGAGUGUGCUGUGGGCUGAAGCGCUGCUCGUCGCUUUGCGGGCAAAGGAAAUGUAAAUACCAAAU